GGGGAUGUAGCUUAGUAGUAAAGUGCUUGCCUGGCAUGCAAGAGGCUUUGAGUCUGAUUGUCAGGAAUUUCCCUCCACCCCA
rnacentral:tRNA from 1 species